rnacentral:rRNA from 1 species
AGUAGUUUGAUCAUGGCUCGAGGACGAACGCUGGCGGCACGCUUAACACAUGCAAGUCGAACGAGCGAAACCAGCUUGCUGGUCUAGCUAGUGGCGGACGGGUGAGUAACACGUGAGCAAUCUGCCUUUCGGAGAGGGAUACCAAUUGGAAACGAUUGUUAAUACCUCAUAACAUAACGAAGCCGCAUGACUUUGUUAUCAAAUGAAUUUCGCCGAAAGAUGAGCUCGCGUCUGAUUAGGUAGUUGGUGAGGUAACGGCCCACCAAGCCGACGAUCAGUAGCCGGACUGAGAGGUUGAACGGCCACAUUGGGACUGAGACACGGCCCAGACUCC